GCACGGCUGAGGAGCCCCAUAAUAGGACGAAACGGUCGUCCAGUGC
rnacentral:hammerhead_ribozyme from 1 species